CUGUACCCGUUCCAGAUCCACAGCAUUGCUCUGUCAACCUUCGCUUCGCUCAUGGGACCAUUUGGAGGGGUUCUUUGCAAGUGGAUUCAAGCGUGCCUUUAAAAUUAAGGAUUUUGCCGACACCAUUCCUGGCCACGGAGGGAUCAUGGAUCGAUUCGACUGUCAAUAUCUCAUGGCCACGUUUGUGCACGUGUACAUGGCCAGCUUCAUAAAAGGGCCAAAUCCAGCCAAACUUCUGCAGCAGCUGCUGGUGCUUAGGCCAGACCAGCAGAUUCAGAUUUUUAAAGCGCUCCGUGACAGUCUGAUGGGAAAGGGACUCAUCCAGAAGGAAGACGACUUCGUGGGCAUUAUCCAACCCAAGCUCUCCUAGGUGGCCUACCUACGCACCAGGAUCCGUACGCACACGCUCAUAUUUAAAGGGACAUCGCAGGCCGCCUGUAUUUAUUAAGAUCAAAAGUCAUGCUCGGGAAUCACUUCAUCGUUUUCUUGGCAAUGCGACAUAGCGUGAUGUAUUUGCUCUGUACUUUUAAGUUGUUCUCGCGUUGCGAAAUUUAAGUGGGGAUUUCCCUUCGCUGUCAGAUUCGCAGGCCUCCACAGUGACCACAGUAACUUAACCUACCAGCUUGUUCAAGCAGCGUUUUAUAGCUUGGGGAUGUGAUGAUUGGUCAGCCGAUGCCAGUAGUGCAAUUGCAAAGUGCAGCAUUUAUCUUGCAUUAUCAUUCUGUGCUUCUCUGGUUUUGGCCAAUUCCGAUGGAGCAAUGGUUAUAUUGGAGCCUAUUUGCAGCAGUAUCCUUCACUCAAGCUCAUAAACAUUUAUUGAAAACAACUCUCUUUUGCUGUUUUUACACGAAGGCUUUGCGCAUUGAACUAUGCUGCAGCAAAUUUCAAUUUAAAGCUUUCGUGACUGCAGGGAUUCAUAUUCUUGGUUCUUUCGGUGAAGUCACGUAGAAAGAAGCAAGAAUAUGCUGUAGCAUUUACAAGGAAUUAAUUUGUUGCCUACGUGAUAACAUUCCCUUACUCUCGGAAGUAUAAAGUUAAAAUGUUUCCCGUAAUAUGCAACACAGAAUUAUUUUGUCAUUGACAUGCGCACUGUUUUUUCAACUGGAAAAAAGGCAAAAAGCAUUUUGGAAAGCAAGGGGGGGGGGGGUUCAGGCUUGCGUACAAAGAUGCAUCUUGGUUACUGGUCACAGGUAGUCGAUGAUGCCUGAUUAAUAUAAAGUAUCAAUAUUUAACACGCUGUCCAAUUUUACGAGCAAACCUCUUCCCCCCCCCCCCCCGUAUAAGAACGAUAAUACAGCACUUAUGAUUAUUUUGAACUCAAUAUGUGCAAAAUGUCUGGGAAGUGCAAUUGUUUAUCUUUGCUGCCCCCCCCCCCCCUCCCCAUAGCGGCUUGUUCCCUGUGUGAUAACGCAAUGUAACUCGAGCAUCAAUCUGCCAGUUGGGGAUAGGUGAUUGCUACGUUUGUAAUUCCAGUCGAGGUAAUUACGUUAUGUUUUGAAUUUUACAAAAUGUAGACUGACGGUUGGUGCUCAAUGUAGCCCCUUCUUUUGAUACAUUACCACGCGUGAACGUCCGAAUAAUGUAAUGCGCCCUGAUUGAGAAUGGCGCAGUCUUAUGCGAAAUAAUAAUUCGAAAAUUUUAUAUCUCGCGGAAAUAAAAAAACAAUCGAUGCCAGAGCCGAAUUGCAAAAUGCUCCAUGUAGCGUGCAUUCGAAGGCUUAUGCGUGCGUAAUUUAAGCAUGUGCAGUUGAUUUGGACCGUACUGAAGCAGUCUCUAAUGAGGUAUAAUUAGACUUACAGUAUAUCUGUGUAGCAUUGUGAUGAUAAUCAUUGACAUUUCUAAUUAGUGAUCAGGGCUUUGCAAUUUGAGUAGAGUAUAUUGCCCGUAGAUGUAAAGCUCUUCCCCCCCCCUCACUGCAAACCUUUCGUAUCCUGCUGUGUACACGGUAACAAUUUACCCCCAAUAAGCAUAUUAUCCUAGAAGUAGCCUGUGAUUGUAACGUGUACACUCGCAUGCACGGUACAGCAAGAUAUCAAACAUAUGGCUUGCACUUCUCAAAUGAAGUGUUUACAGUAACUUCUCAUUCUAUUAAACGAAUUCUCUGUAAGGCCGACGUCUUUACAAAAAUAAGAAAAUAUUAUGUUCUCUGAGAAAGCAUUGUGUGGUCAUGUGGUGGUGAGAGAUGACGUUUGUCAUCGGAGUGGUGAAAUGAAACGGGGUUUUGUAUAGCUGCCUCUCUUCAAAAUUCUUCCAACUUAAAACACGUUCACGUCACGUGACACCGAGUUUGAAAAGGCAGCUUUUACGCCUGGGAACAGGGUCUCUUGUAAGUAAAGCUCCAGCCCCCUCUGACCCUUGCGCUUACAAACUGAAUGUGUCUGGAUUCAAGUACUCGUCAGUGUAAGGAACUGCAAGUGUAGAUUGCUUCGUCGUGGAGGGGUGUCCUGAGACAUGGAAGCUCUCCAGCCAAGUUAACUAGAUGGUCCGUGUUCCCGCGUGCCACUAAUUAGCUCCAUUUCACACGAUAAUUGGUGGAUGGUUGGCAGUGUUAUCCUGAUUGUCUCCUGCAUAUUCACAACUGAAAACCAGUUUGCCUAGUUCGUUAUAUUGGUGCAUGGCAUGCCGGUGUUUACUGUGUUGAGUGUUCAGAAGUUAAAGCCGUGGGGCCAACCAACAUUAAUGCUCACACGUAUAACUGCUAAAUCUGAUGUAGUGGGUUUUUUUCUUACUUUAUACAGAUUGUUAUUUUUUAUUGAGGGGUAUGCACAAUGUGAAUAACAUGGCACUGUUUUAUAGAUUUUUCUUAAAUUUAUUGUAAUCUUAUUACUUUAAUCAUUGUUUUACUGUAUUGUCUGAUAUAGUUUUAUAUAUAUAAUUUCACUGUGCAAUGAAUGUAUCCUUGGUUUAGGGUGCAAGAUGUUACCAAAACGGGAUAUAACAUGGCCACACAUAACAUUUGGUAGAGGCGUUUACCUUUCAACUUUAAAGUGUGCAUUUGCAACCAAAUCAUUACAAAUUAUCUUCACAAAACAAUGUUAUUUGAGGCAUAUGUAAGUGUUGUUCCAUUCUUUGGACGUUACAGACUCGAAUAUAUUUUCAGAUAAAAGUUUGGUGGUGAUGCUACACAUUAGAAUACAUUUUCAGUUGAUGUCUCAAACGUUGCUCUUUGAUUUUGUAUAAACCUUGCUACUUGCUUCAUUUGCUUAUUUUCCCCAUUUACCGUGUUCUGUUUAGCUCUUUGCCAGAUUUUAUAUUUCCUUCUGCAGUAAAGCCGUGUGAAGAGGUCUAUAGCGAGUAAAUGGCUGUGACUCGGUUGUGAAUGUAACUGCUGAAAAAAACUAUUUGAAAUGCUAAAUGCCGCAGCUGUUUUAAUCCUCAUUUUCCAAUUUUUUUAUUUCUAAUUUUGACUGCAAAGGUAUAUUUGAUGCCAGCUGAACAAAAUUAAACACCAUCCACUAUAGUGUUGAACCAAAAAAAAUAAUUUUCCUAGCAUUUAAAUGAUGCUCCUAAAUUAAGCUAAGGUAAAUUAAUAUUUUACACCAGUUUAUUUAUGUUGUAAAUGAAAAUAAAAAAUAUAUAUAUUAAAUAUAUAGGUCUUAUCUUACUCCUUAGCUUGAAAGUACUUUGUGUGUAUAUAUACGCUGUGUCUUAUAUGUUGGAAGGCAAUUCAGGUGUUAAAAGUGAGUUGUAUCUGAUUUAAAAUGUUUUCCAUCAGCAGUUACUCAUUGCGAAUAAAUCACUCCACAGCUUGUGCUCUUGAGGUUUCACCACAUUAGAGCCCGUUUUCUCAGCCGAAAAAUAUCACAGUGAGUUCUCACAAUUGAUAUUACACUUGUCAAAAGGGUUUUCACGUAACUGAACACCCACUAGACUUCUUGGAUGUCUUGCAACAACUUAUUUUCGCUUCGUGUGCUUUUCAAUUUAAUGUUUGACUGAAACCGGCCUCUUCAUCUGUCCUACCAUCGUGAGCCUGAUGUGAAACCCAAGCUGAGAUAUACCAUAGGUAGCACUAGGAAGACCUCUUCACCACAAAGUACUGUAAAUCUGAUGGUGAAGGUGUUUAUUGUUCUUGUCAGUUAUUACGGGUAAGUAUUUCCAUCGCAUUUUAAGGGAAUUGUCAAGUUUUGGACUCAAGAAAAAAUUGACUUAAGAACGGUGGACUUAGGUCCAUACAUUUAAAAUUUUAUUUCGGCUAAAAGCGUUUGCGUGCAGUUUUGUUGAUAUUCCUGCUUAACUGUAUACACGACAUGAGGUAUAUAAAAUAGUAACAUUGCAAAUUACAGUAGACUGCUAUAUUUUGUGAUUGGGCCUCUUAUUAGGUAUGUUCAUGUUAGAGUUCUGUUUCUCUUGAUGCUUUGUCACUGCUAUAGAGUUCAGAGACGUUCACACGACGCAUAUAAUACCUGAUGAAUGAGGCCACUGUGGAAACCACGUGGAAUGUGGGUUGGUACACAAGACCAAAAAAACCCAGGUCUGUGCCAUUCAAUAUUCCAUAUCUGGUUUUCACAGCAGCCUGUAAAUGAGAAUAUUUAGAUAAACCCCUUUCCUAGCUGAUCCAUGAGAACAUAGUUCAUGUAAUGCAUUAGUGAUUGUUUUCUAAACAGACUGGUUAAAGAGUGUUCCUGGUUAAUGCCGUUGUGUGGGUCCCUCGACUAAACAGAUGUAAUCCAGUACAGUAUUCAUCAUAACAUCUGGGUUAAAUACAGCACAUGUUGGAAUAUAACAUUACUUUGUGUAUAGUAAUAUAUCAUUGUGUGUGGGUGUUACAAAGGUGCAAGAUGUGAAUGUACCAAUAAAGAUUACUAGAAU